CACUUUGUCAGCCUGUUCCUUAGCAACACACAUCAGCUGGUAUGGGUGCUGACCCCUGAGUGCCACAGAAGCUGAUUAGUCCAAUCAGCCUCCCAUCAGCCCAUUGCGUGGCCGACCGGCCAACUUGGAAGGAGCUGAUUCCCUCUGGCUUGAGUGACCAGAGGCACCUUUCCUGUGAUCCUGGAGGCACCUUGCCCUGCCAGCUCUUUGAGAGGGGCAGAAAAUGGGGUCCACUUGGGGCUUAAUGAGCAAGACAUCACACCAUGUACCAGUGACCCAAAGGCCCUGGAGAAAGGGAA
rnacentral:lncRNA from 1 species